rnacentral:rRNA from 1 species
ACUUUCAGCAACGGAUCUCUUGGCUCUCGCAUCGAUGAAGAACGCAGCGAAAUGCGAUAAGUAAUGUGAAUUGCAGAAUUCAGUGAAUCAUCGAAUCUUUGAACGCACCUUGCACUCCUUGGUAUUCCGAGGAGUAUGCCUGUUUGAGUGUCAUUA